rnacentral:lncRNA from 1 species
CCUCGCACUGCGCCAGCACCUUGCCACCGGCCACCCUUCGUCGCUGUGCUGCCUGCGUAGCUUCUCGCUACCUCUCGGCCACGCCGCAUCUCGCUGUGCCGCUUCCACUGCUGGCCGCCGCACCUCGCCUCUUCGUCGCCUCCCGCGUAGCCGCACUCGCCGCUGUGAGCCGCCCCUCGCUUGCCUCGCCACCGCGGCCUUGCGCCGUCGUCGGCACC